CUUUCAGAUUUUCUGCUGAAGAGAGGUACAAAGGAAUUGAAAGCCAACUAAGGUUGUGUUUAUAGCAAGAAUGCUGAAGAUGACGUAUCUCCCACUGUGACAAAGAACAAACUACUUACUGCUUAUUACAGAAGUAAUGGAUUCUCCAAACUCAGUGUUUCUCAGCUGUGAUACAGAUAUGCUGCAUGUGCAGUAUCCAUCUGAGAUUUUCUGUAAAGCCCCUGUGGGACUUGGGGAGCAAAGGGGACUAUGACAAGCAUGAUGUUCAUGCCAUUUGCUGUAUUGUGAGUAACAAAGUACUUCAUCUGUGAUCCAGGUGUCUUAUGUCUUCUGCCAACAUUCAUAAAACAAUAGAAGGUGAAUCUUUCAGCUUGCAAGUAGGGGAAUAUCCUAGCCUGACAGCAGGUUCCUGUUUGCCCUUGCUCUUUCCUCUUUGUGUCCAUCUUUCUUUCCCAACUGCCCCACCCUGUGGACUUAAGGCACUAGAUACAGAGACAAAGGAGUCACAUAGAUUGUUUAACUAGAUCCUACAACUGGGUAGGGAAAAAUUCCCAUAGUAAAUGCAUUUUAUGUAUAUUUCCUAGUGGAUUUGCUUCUCUGACCAAACCGUGACUAUUAUAGCUCCCCUCACAACCAACCUAAUCCAUUUUCUGAGAUUCCAUAUUGUUGCAAGUUCUGUAUAAACAUCAUCUUUAAUGGCAGAAGAAUAUUUCAUAUUGAGUAGAUUAGACAUACUUUAUUUAUUUAAACUUUUGACACAAAAAUAUUUGUUCAGUCUAAUUAAUCCAAGAGGAAAAGAGAUUUGUGAAAUAGAAUUAAACUUUGAAAAUAAUCUUCCCUUUAUGCAGUACUGAUUUUAUGUUAAGUAUUGGAGGAGGCCGGGCAC
rnacentral:lncRNA from 10 species